rnacentral:rRNA from 1 species
AGACGGGUGAGUAACGCGUGGGAACGUACCUUUCACUACGGAAUAGCUCUGGGAAACUGGUGGUAAUACCGUAUACGCCCUUAGGGGGAAAGAUUUAUCGGUGAAAGAUCGGCCCGCGUUGGAUUAGCUAGUUGGUGAGGUAAUGGCUCACAAAGGCGACGAUCCAUAGCUGGUCUGAGAGGAUGAUCAGCCACACUGGGACUGAGACACGGCCCAGACUCCUACGGGAGGCAGCAGUGGGGAAUCUUGCACAAUGGGCGAAAGCCUGAUGCAGCCAUGCCGCGUGAAUGAUGAAGGCCUUAGGGUUGUAAAAUUCUUUCGUCAGGGAUGAUAAUGACCGUACCUGAAGAAGAAGCCCCGGCUAACUUCGUGCCAGCAGCCGCGGUAAUACGAAGGGGGCUAGCGUUGUUCGGAAUUACUGGGCGUAAAGCGCACGUAGGCGGACUUUUAAGUCAGGUGUGAAAUCCCGAGGCUCAACCUCGGAACUGCAUUUGAAACUGGGAGUCUGGAGAUCAGGAGAGGUUAGCGGAAUACCGAGUGUAGAGGUGAAAUUCGUAGAUAUUCGGUGGAACACCAGUGGCGAAGGCGGCUAACUGGACUGAUACUGACGCUGAGGUGCGAAAGUGUGGGGAGCAAACAGGAUUAGAUACCCUGGUAGUCCACACCGUAAACGAUGAGAGCUAGUUGUUGGCAGGCAUGCCUGUCGGUGACGCAGUUAACACAUUAAGCUCUCCGCCUGG